CAGCAGCAGCCGCGGUAAUACGUAGGGUGCAAGCGUUAAUCGGAAUUACUGGGCGUAAAGCGUGCGCAGGCGGUUAUAUAAGACAGAUGUGAAAUCCCCGGGCUCAACCUGGGAACUGCAUUUGUGACUGUAUAGCUAGAGUACGGCAGAGGGGGAUGGAAUUCCGCGUGUAGCAGUGAAAUGCGUAGAUAUGCGGAGGAACACCGAUGGCGAAGGCAAUCCCCUGGGCCUGUACUGACGCUCAUGCACGAAAGCGUGGGGAGCAAACAGGAUUAGAUACCCGCGUAGUCCCUGUCUCUUAUAA
rnacentral:rRNA from 1 species